rnacentral:piRNA from 1 species
UCCAACCAGUUGUUUAUCAGAGGAUAUGGGC